rnacentral:tRNA from 1 species
UCCCUGGUGGUCCAGUGGCUAAGACCCCGUGCUCGCAAUGCGGGGAGCCCAGGUUCGAUACCUGAUCAGGGAA